rnacentral:rRNA from 1 species
GAUGAACGCUGGCGGCGUGCUUAACACAUGCAAGUCGAACGGGGCAUUAAAGCGGAAGUUUUCGGAUGGAAGUUUUGAAGCCUAGUGGCGGACGGGUGAGUAACGCGUGGGUAACCUGCCCUGCACUGGGGGAUAACACCUGGAAACAGGUGCUAAUACCGCAUAAGCGCACAGGACCGCAUGGUCCGGUGUGAAAAACUCCGGUGGUGCAGGAUGGACCCGCGUCUGAUUAGGUAGUUGGCGGGGUAACGGCCCACCAAGCCGACGAUCAGUAGCCGGCCUGAGAGGGUGGACGGCCACAUUGGGACUGAGACACGGCCCAG